ensembl:lncRNA
AUGAAUCUUUCCUCUGUAUUUGAUGUGGUUUGUCUAAAGGUCUCGGACAUGGAGAGGGUGAUGGAGGGUCUCCAGAAUCAUGCAGCAGUGGUGCUCAAACCACAUGCUUUGCAGUCAAGUUCUGCCACUUCUCAUGCCUCAGGACAGCCGAGUUACGAUCAUAUCUGGAAGGAAGUCUAUGCCUUCACUGAGCAUCACCAGGAACUAAGUACUGAGGAUGAUCACACAGCUGUGGCUCACGGUGAGGAGGAUGUAGAAAACACCAGCUCCAGUAAGCCCCCAGGAUCCUACAGAAAGAGGAGCGAAAGAGGGUAUAGUUAUAUGAGCACCUUGCAUCUGCUAGGAUUGGAAGAAGGAACAACAAUUGCCAACAAGGAGCAUGUGGUGACAAGAGGAACCUACCUGUCCUUUCUUCUCCUACGUCACCUGAGGCUCCGAGAGCUAAAGCGAGUAUGCCUGGGGAUCCUGAACUAUUUCAGGUCUGUGGAGAGAAGCCUGACCAUCAGUACCUCAGGCCUCUCAUUCAAGGCUGGUCAUCUAAUUCCCAGCGCAGAAGACACCUCCUGGGUCAAUGCUGCCAAAGGAGGUACUGGUGUUUCUGGUGGUCUGCGCUCUCAACCCUAUAUUCACUACACGCCAGCUGACUACAAGGUGCAUAGCACUCAGUUCAUGGAGUUUGCAGAGGUGGAAAACCAUGAUGACUUUCACACUCGUGAAGAUGGGUAUAUUCACACACAGGACCAGAGAGGGGCUUACAUCAUAUAUGACGUGGCUUUAGAGGAUCUGAAGGAGCUUGAGAACCAGAUGCUGCUUGUGGCCAGUCAGUACAUUGAGAAAGAUAAAAGCAAUGUAACUUGUGGGAAGUAUGGUGGCAGCAAAAUCCUUGGCUGGGCACAUGCCUCUGUGGAUCGGUUCGCUGUGUUGCUUGACCUUUGGACCUGUGAAACUGCUCUCUUGGAAAAAAAAUGCCAGGUACAGAAGCUUUGCUUGGUUUGAAAAUAGUGACUUGCAAUCAAUCAACUUCAGGUUGUUUAAGGUUCCCUUUCAGCAGCAUUUCUCAUUGGAAAUGCACGUGGGUGCUAGAGCUGGUGACCAUGGGUGGUGGUACAGGUUCCAGAUGCAUCGGGAUCUUGCUGUUAGCUGGGCUGAGCCCAGGAGGUUGGAGCUACUGGGUGCUGUAAGUUGUGUCCAAAGGACUCCAUUUAGUGGCUUUGCAACACUGGGGCAGAACUGCUCUUGUCAGGCAGCUGCUGUGCUGGGGGCUGGGAGCACUUCUGCAAGGCCCUAGUGAUACCACCCAACGGUGUAAGGGAUGAUUGGGAAGGACAAGGCGAUCUCCAGAGCAAAACUGCAGAAUAUUCUGGGAGAACCAGGUCAAGCUCUGCGGAGCCUGGGCCACCAGGGAGUCUGAGAUGCCAUUUUUUUCUGUGAUCCUGGCUGUCCCUGCUGCCUGGGGCUGGUGCAGAGAAUUUUUUGUCUGUCAUUGGAACUGUAAUCAUCAUAGCUUUGUGAAGCCUAGGUAGAAGAGACUCAGUCUGCAGUUGGCUAGGAUCAUCGUUUGGGUUGCCCUUUGUCAGAGGGAACCAGAGAGGUAUUUUGCUUGUUACACCAUAAAAAUAAUCCUUUUAUCCGUACAAACUGUAUAUAUGAUUGUGUAUAUUACAAAUUUGUUUCUUUUUUGUUAAUUGAUCUACUUGAGCACAUAAUGACAUUUAUUAUGGUAUAACAAUUUUUUUUAAAAACGGUAGAUAUGCAUAUUAAGUGGAUUGUAGCUUUGCCAUUCACUAGGGGUGCUGCAUAUUCUGCUUGCUUUCCCCUUCCACUCUCCGAAUCUAGUCACACGUCUAUAUUUUGCCAUGGGACGUGAAUGCAUGUAGUGUUUCUGCCCAAAGACUUCAGUCUUGAGAUGAAGAUUUGACAAGUUCAGAGUGACAGCCCCAGAGAAGCUUGCAAAUAUAUUUCUAUGUAUGGGACUCACCAGACCCCAGGACAAUACAGUGAGUGUCAGGAAGUGUGAAAGAGCAGAUAGCCCGCUUCAGAAGCAGGGAGAAAUGGCACUAGUUAAGGUCACCUUCACACACUUGAAAUGUUUUAUUCUCAGCCCUGGAGUAGUGCAGGGCAGUUCUCAAAAUAGGAAUGCCAGGGGGUGUUAGGGAAUCUCCUGUGUACCAUUGAAGUAGCUUUAAAUAGAAAACCUUUUAAACUGAAAUAGUUGUUUGUAGUUUAGGAACUCUUCUAAGGUCCCUCUUCCAUUUUCAUAGAGGGGCUUCAUGUGACAACUAUAUAAAAUACUACCUAAUUGCCUACUUCACUAAGUUUCUGCUCUUGUCCCAAUAGACCUCACUUUCCAUUGCUGUAUGAAGUUACCUCAACAAAUAUACCUUUUAUUUUUAUCACAGGCCUUCUGUAUAAAGAAAUUUGCUUUCUUUUUCUGAAAAAAAAUAACAACCACCCACAAAACCUCCCAGUAGAGAAGAAUAAAACUCCUACACCAACAAUGCA